GGCCAUAUGGUAUAGCGGUAUUAUGUCGGCUUGUCGCGCCGAAGAUCGGGGUUCGACUCCCCGUAUGGUCGCCA
rnacentral:tRNA from 1 species